CGUCCCUCUUCUGCUCCCUCCCACACAGAAUGAAGUCCCUGCACCCUCCUGAGUUACCAGGCGGGAGUGGCAGACCCACGGGGCUUACUUCCGAGAGGCUGGGUGCUUCGCUGCUGCAAGUGCAUCUUGGCUUGGAAGCUUUGUGGGAAAUCUUUAAAGCACCACUGGCCAGUGUCUGCCCGGUGGGUGGUGAGUGGCCCAGGAUUACUGCUGGAACCGGACUGAAUGUCUUGGAAGUGACUUCCGCAUCCAACGAUGCCUGUGAGACGGCCCAGAGUCUCUGCAGGCGAUCUGAUCUUGGGGCUGAAAGUGUCACUGGCUCCGUGUAUUUAUUAUGUUUUAAUAACACAAGGAAAAGUGUCCCCGGCAGUGAGCUGAGUCAUAAGAAGGCGUGUGUGGUGCACCGGCUUCCAGAAAAUCCACACCUGGACUGGUCCCAGCACACAGACGGCACCGCCGCUUCUGAAAACACCAGGGUCAGAAAGAAACAUCUCCUCUUUCCGUAGAAAGGGGCUUCACACAGAGGGCCUUCCCUGGUGGCUCAGUGGUAAAGAAUCCACCUGCCAACGCAGGAGACGAGGGUUUGAUCCUUGGGUCAGAAAGAUCCCCUGGAGGAGGGCAUGGCAACCCACUCCAGUAUUUGUGCUCAGAGAAUCCCGUGGACAGAGGAGCCUGGUGGGCUGCAGGACAUGGGGUCGCAGAGUCGGGCAUGACUGAGCGACUGAACAACCUCGCAGAGGGGCCUUCCGAGGUCUGUAACCAACGCCGUCUGUGAGCCAGGUGCUGGGGUCUUCAUGGAACUCCUCUCCGGCCCUGAUUUAGCUCAGGUUUACUGCUGAAGAGACUGCGGGGCAGAGUGUGGAUUUAGGGUGCCUGACUCCACACCCUGGGGCCCCCUCAUGUACUCCUGCUCCUCUGGGUGUCAGAGAUCGGGGCAGGGGUGGGUGGACAGGCCCCGGGUGGCAGAGGCCCCACGGCAAGAGGGGAGCAGCAGCCAGCCCCGAGAUCUCAAAGAAAGACAGAGCGAGAGAGACGCUCCCAGCAGAUGUUGGUGUUCCUGGACACACAGAUGCUCUUCUCAGCUCCCAUGUCAAAACAAACUUGGAGCUUUUUCAAUAGGAAACUGGAAAUCCCAAGUCACCAGUGACAGAGGGGUGGGAGGUCUCGAGAGUCUCCGUGCCUUCUGCCCUCUGUCCCCUGAACCCUGACGGCCUGACUCAGGCUCAGCCUCCAUCCUGGCUCCGCAGCCCCCACUGGCAUCAUCGAAACUCUUGCUGCAAGGCUGCUGAAACCGUGUCACCUGGCUAAACGGCAGGAGGGUGGCGGUUUACCGGCAGCUGGCAGAGAGGGCAGGGGCGCGGCUGGCUCCGGAAACCCUUGCACUGCUGCCCGAACACGCCUGGCCGCUGUCCCUGGGGCCAGCCGCCUCCUCUCCCGGCCCUCCACAGUCACACGGGGCGUCCCGCCUGGAGGAGCCGGACCUGGAAGGGGCACCCAGCAGGCCAC
rnacentral:lncRNA from 1 species